rnacentral:lncRNA from 1 species
UAGCUCUCCACGUAGUCGACGUGCUCGUCCUGCGGCUCGCUGGCGAUCUGCCGCAGCGUGGCCUUGUCCACGCGGCCCACGCCGAUGGCGAACAGCUCAAUACCGCUGGCCCGGGCCCGUGCAGACACGUCCCGCACGCUGUCCUGGGGCCUCCCGUCCGUCACCACGAUGACCACCUGCGACACGCAGGGCGCGUGACAGGUCUUCCUCCCGCCCUGGGCUGGGCUGGGCCCUCCAGUAAGCCCCCGAGAUCACUAGCAGAGGAGGACACAGAGGCCCCAGAGGCCUGCCCAGCCUUGCCCAGGUCACACAGCUAGUCUACUGCAGAUGGGUCUGACUCCCCGCCACGGUCUUGCCCCAGGGAGGAGGACCUGGCUAGCAGAAGAGGAGAGAGGUUUCCUCUGACUGAAAGACCCAGCUGAGGUGUUCUCCCCUCUGACUGGGGCCUCUGGAUCUCUCCCCCUUCAGGCAGACACCUCUGUGAUCAUCUGAGGGCAGGACCCUGCCUCCCUCCUCAGGCUGGGACCUCUUGAGAACCCCAAGUGUGCCCGACACCAUGCAGUUCUGCCCGUUGGCCACCAGAGGGCGAGCGAGGCUAGCGAACGGCGGCGCCUCCAGUCUGGCCAUCUUUCCCCUCUAGGCCCUGGGAAGGGGCCUUUUCUCCCUCCGUCCCCCAGGAUGCUACCUGCCCUUUCCGUGGGGGAAAGCACUGUCUGCUCCCCUCCCACAACGCUCCUCUGUUUGUACCCUGGGAAGGGAGACAGAGGGGACUCCGGGGCCGGUCCCAGCCCUGGCCACCCCCAGCUCUGCUCCAGUCUGGGGCCCGGAAUCCAGCCCUGACGGCUGCUUCUCUGCUUUCUGACCUGGGCCUGCUUCUGAUUCCCGGGUCCCCACCCUGGGCCCCGGGGCCCGAACCCCUGGCCUGUAGUGUGGUGGUUAAGGCAGGCCUGGGCUGGAAAUGCAGCUCACCUUCCCGGUGAGAUGAUUCAUGGUAAGAAGCCAGGAAGGGGAACUAUUAUUUUCCGUAUCCCUCCCGUGGACCCCCUGGGGAGUGGUCUCGAACCAUCCCUUCCCCCAGAGGCCUAGACUCACCUAGCUAUGACCGUCCGCUGCCCCAGCCUGUCCCAUUCCCCCCGCCCCCCAUCAGUCCAGCCUUGCGACCCUGAACCCACCUUGUCGGGGCUUCCCACAGGUGAAUUCCAGGCUGGCCACCCACUCACCCAGACCCGAUGGAACUCUCUCCCCCACGCUUGUCCACCCCGGGCUGACACCGUUCACUAGAGGUGUGACAGCCACAGAUGUCACCACCAUCCCCUUCACCACGUCUCUCCGUCAGGAUCACCCCAGGCCACCACAUCCUCCCAGCGAUCGUGACCGUCAACUUCCUGUCAGAGUUUGUAAAUGGCCCUCACGAGGUAUGACCAACAGGCCGCCUCAUAGACCAGCUCUUUGAGGCCUGUCACGGCCGGGAUUACACGCUGUUGUCUGUAAACAUUCCUACCUCUUAUUAACUGGGCAGGAUGCUUAAGCCCCCCCCCCCCCCCCCCCCGUGCCUCAGUGUCCUCAUCUGUAAAAAUGAGGACCCCGCCCCCAAGCAGGACUGCAUUCACUCGGCACUCAUAUGUCAGGCGUGUGCUCCAUGGGGAUAAGAAGUACAUUCCCUGGGGCUGGGGGCCUGGGCAGAUAAGCGGUGACUCCUUGGGGCCAUCGAGGGCUCUGAAAGGGAGGCGUGGGAACCUGUGGGAGGAGAGAACACCUGACCGGCCUCACAGGCCCCGGACUGAGCCCUGGAAAAUUACGCCGUGGGCACCAGGUCCGUGCAGCCCCUCCACACACCCUGCUCAGAGCCCUUCCUGACGUCAGCUUGUGGCACGUCGUGUCAUUUUUCUGAACCCCUGCCCUCGAAGGCUUUAAACAAAAAAAUAAGCUGGGGUGCCUGGGUGGCUCAGUCGGUUAAGCAUCUGACUCUUGAUCUCGGCUCCAGUCAUGAUCUCAUAGUUCGCGGGACAGCGAAACUGCGAUAAUCAAGUGCUCGCCAGAUCGGGGUCCUGGGGUCAGACGGUGGAUAGAGCGGGUUCAAAUCUCAGCUCCGCCACUUAGCUUAGGCGGGUCUAAUCCACAACCGUAAGAAGGCCAGCCCGUCAGGUGCUCUGAGAAUCACGCAGGUGACGCUCUCAGCACACAACAAGACGCCGGCGGGGAGGGGCGGGCACGUACCUUGCUGAUGUCGGGGGACCUGGCACGGCCCCCCUCGGCGUCGCUGAAGGCUUUGGUGAUGGCGAACUGGAUGGCCAGACCGGUCAUGGUCCCCGUGGACAGCGGCCGGAUGCCCCGAACGGCCCGCAGCAGCGCGGCCUUGGAGCCGUGGGCCCGCAGGGGGAACUCCUGCUUCACGGCGCUGGCGUAGUUGACCACGCCCACCCGGGUGGCGUUGGGCCCCACAUCCAGCGACUCGAUGACCUGGGACAAGAACACCUUCACCUUCUCGAACUCCACGGGCCUCACGCUGCGCGAGCUGUCCACCACAAACACCAGG